rnacentral:rRNA from 2 species
AGACCCGAAACCCGGUGAUCUAGCCAUGGGCAGGUUGAAGGUUGGGUAACACUAACUGGAGGACCGAACCGACUAAUGUUGAAAAAUUAGCGGAUGACCUGUGGCUGGGGGUGAAAGGCCAAUCAAACCGGGAGAUAGCUGGUUCUCCCCGAAAGCUAUUUAGGUAGCGCCUCGUGAAUUCAUCUCCGGGGGUAGAGCACUGUUUCGGCUAGGGGGCCAUCCCGGCUUACCAACCCGAUGCAAACUGCGAAUACCGGAGAAUGUUAUCACGGGAGACACACGGCGGGUGCUAACGUCCGUCGUGAAGAGGGAAACAACCCAGACCGCCAGCUAAGGUCCCAAAGUCAUGGUUAAGUGGGAAACGAUGUGGGAAGGCCCAGACAGCCAGGAUGUUGGCUUAGAAGCAGCCAUCAUUUAAAGAAAGCGUAAUAGCUCACUGGUCGAGUCGGCCUGCGCGGAAGAUGUAACGGGGCUAAACCAUGCACCGAAGCUGCGGCAGCGAACGUAUCACCCAAGACAACUUUACGGAGUUGACGAUUGACGGAGCGAAGCGACGUCAAAGCGUUCAUUAAAGUCGAGUUGGCUUAGGGAUACGUUCGUUGGGUAGGGGAGCGUUCUGUAAGCCUGUGAAGGUGUGUCGUGAGGCAUGCUGGAGGUAUCAGAAGUGCGAAUGCUGACAUAAGUAACGAUAAAGCGGGUGAAAAGCCCGCUCGCCGGAAGACCAAGGGUUCCUGUCCAACGUUAAUCGGGGCAGGGUGAGUCGACCCCUAAGGCGAGGCCGAAAGGCGUAGUCGAUGGGAAACGGGUUAAUAUUCCCGUACUUGGUGUUACUGCGAAGGGGGGACGGAGAAGGCUAUGUUGGCCGGGCGACGGUUGUCCCGGUUUAAGCGUGUAGGUGUGUGUUCCAGGUAAAUCCGGUUCACUUUAACACUGAGGCGUGAUGACGAGGCACUACGGUGCUGAAGCAACAAAUG